AUACGGAGGAUGCGAGCGUUAUCCGGAUUCAUUGGGUUUAAAGGGAGCGUAGGUGGGAUAUUAAGUCAGCUGUGAAAGUUUGGGGCUCAACCUUAAAAUUGCAGUUGAUACUGGUUUCCUUGAGUACGGCACAGGUGGGCGGAAUUCGUGGAGUAGCGGUGAAAUGCUUAGAUAUCACGAAGAACUCCGAUCGCGAAGGCAGCUCACCGGGCCGGAACUGACACUGAUGCUCGAAAGUGCGGGUAUCAAACAGGAUUAGAUACCCUGGUAGUCCGCACAGUAAACGAUGAAUACUCGAUGUUUGCGAUACACUGUAAGCGGCCAAGCGAAAGCGUUAAGUAUUCCACCUGGGGAGUACGCCGGUAACGGUGAAACUCAAAUGAAUUGGCGGGG
rnacentral:rRNA from 1 species